rnacentral:sRNA from 1 species
GUCGUGCACGAUGCGAAUCUUAUCCGGC